UGCCAUCCGCCGCGGUAAUACGGAGGGGGUUAGCGUUGUUCGGAAUUACUGGGCGUAAAGGGCGCGUAGGCGGUCUUGUAUGUCGGGCGUGAAAGCCCCGGGCUCAACCCGGGAUGUGCGCCCGAAACUGCAAGACUAGAGUCUCGGAGAGGGAGGUGGAAUUCCAGAUGUAGCGGUGGGAUGCGUAGAUAUCUGGAAGAACACCGGUGGCGAAGGCGACCUCCUGGACGAUGACUGACGCUGAGGCGCGAAAGCGUGGGUAGCAAACAGGAUUAGAUA
rnacentral:rRNA from 1 species